GGUAGAUGAGCUCCGUUUAGGACAUAACCAUGUUAAGCGUGGUAUGUUUGUAUAAUGGACUCAACCGCGGGGUCUCCUACUAACCCUGUCUAGAAAAAUAUUGUAAAGUUAGAAACUCAAUAUGCCUCCUAAAAAUAGUGGAGCUAGCAAAAAAACUGUAGAAAAAGUUAAGCAAAAGAUCGUAGAGGAUAAAACAUUUGGCCUUAAAAACAAAAAGGGAAAAAAACAACAAGAAUAUAUCAAACAUGUUGCAAAACAAGUAACUGGUGACAAGGUUGGU
rnacentral:lncRNA from 1 species